rnacentral:rRNA from 2 species
UGGGGAAUAUUGGACAAUGGGCGCAAGCCUGAUCCAGCCAUGCCGCGUGGGUGAAGAAGGCCUUCGGGUUGUAAAGCCCUUUUGUCCGGGAAGAAAUCGUCUGGGCUAAUACCCCGGGCGGAUGACGGUACCGGAAGAAUAAGCACCGGCUAACUUCGUGCCAGCAGCCGCGGUAAUACGAAGGGUGCAAGCGUUACUCGGAAUUACUGGGCGUAAAGCGUGCGUAGGCGGUUCGUUAAGUCCGAUGUGAAAGCCCUGGGCUCAACCUGGGAACUGCAUUGGAAACUGGCGGGCUGGAGUGCGGUAGAGGGUGGCGGAAUUCCCGGUGUAGCAGUGAAAUGCGUAGAUAUCGGGAGGAACACCCGUGGCGAAGGCGGCCACCUGGACCAGCACUGACGCUGAGGCACGAAAGCGUGGGGAGCAAACAGG